UGGGGAAUAUUGGACAAUGGGCGAAAGCCUGAUCCAGCAAUACCGCGUGUGUGAAGAAGGCCCUAGGGUUGUAAAGCACUUUCAAUUGGGAGGAAAACCUACCGGUCAAUACCCGGUAGCUUGACAUUACCUUUAGAAGAAGCACCGGCUAACUCCGUGCCAGCAGCCGCGGUAAUACGGAGGGUGCAAGCGUUAAUCGGAAUUACUGGGCGUAAAGCGUGCGUAGGCGGUUCGUUAAGUCAGAUGUGAAAGCCCCGGGCUCAACCUGGGAACUGCAUUUGAAACUGGCGAACUAGAGUUUAGUAGAGGGGAGUGGAAUUUCAGGUGUAGCGGUGAAAUGCGUAGAUAUCUGAAGGAACACCAGUGGCGAAGGCGACUCCCUGGACUAAAACUGACGCUGAGGUACGAAAGCGUGGGUAGCAAACAGGAUUAGAUACCCUGGUAGUCCACGCCGUAAACGAUGUCAACUAGCCGUUGGUCCUCUAUGUAGGAUUAGUGGCGCAGCUAACGCAUUAAGUUGACCGCCUGGGGAGUACGACCGCCAGGUUA
rnacentral:rRNA from 1 species